GAUGAACGCUGGCGGCGUGCCUAACACAUGCAAGUCGAGGGGCAGCGGGAUUGAAGCUUGCUUCAAUUGCCGGCGACCGGCGCACGGGUGAGUAACGCGUAUCCAACCUUCCGCUUACUCGGGGAUAGCCUUUCGAAAGAAAGAUUAAUACCCGAUGGUAUCUUAAGCACGCAUGAGAUUAAGAUUAAAGAUUUAUCGGUAAGCGAUGGGGAUGCGUUCCAUUAGGCAGUUGGCGGGGUAACGGCCCACCAAACCUACGAUGGAUAGGGGUUCUGAGAGGAAGGUCCCCCACAUUGGAACUGAGACACGGUCCAA
rnacentral:rRNA from 1 species